GAUCCGGGGGACAAGCUCCGGCAGACUACUGCGCCAUCUUGGGCAGUGCGAGCGGUCUAGACGUUCCGGGCGGUUUCGCUGGAUUAAGGGCCCGGGCGAGGGUCAGGUUGGAGCCGGGAGGCGGCGGGAGCAGCGGCGGCGGGGGCAGGAUGAGCGCGGAGGCGGCGGACCGGGAGGCGGCCACCUCCAGCCGGCCCUGCACCCCGCCGCAGACCUGCUGGUUCGAGUUCCUGCUGGAGGAGUCGCUGCUAGAGAAGCAUCUGCGCAAAGCCUGCCCGGAUCCCGCCCCAGUCCAGCUUAUUGUUCAGUUCUUGGAGCAGGCUUCCAAACCUUCAGUGAACGAGCAAAACCAAGUCCAGCCGCCACCUGACAACAAGAGGAAUCGCAGCCUGAAGCUUCUCGCUCUCAAGGUUGCUGCACAUCUAAAGUGGGAUUUAGAUAUACUGGAGAAAAGCCUGUCUGUUCCGGUGUUGAACAUGCUGCUGAACGAGCUGCUGUGCGUCAGUAAAGUCCCCCCUGGGACCAAGCACGUGGACGUGGACCUGGCUGCCCUUCCCCCAACCACUGCCAUGGCUAUCCUCCUCUACAACAGAUGGGCAAUUAGGACAAUUGUUCAAAGUAGUUUUCCUGUCAAACAGGCUAAACCUGGACCUCCUCAACUAAAUGUCAUGAACCAGAUGCAACAGGAAAAAGAACUGACAGAGAACAUUUUGAAAGUGCUAAGAGAACAAGCUGCUGAUUCUAUUUUGGUCCUGGAAGCAGCCCUGAAAUUAAACAAGGAUCUGUAUGUUCACACAAUGAGAACUUUGGACUUACUGGCUGUGGAACCAGGCACUGUGAAUGGGGAAACUGAGAAUUCUACGGCUGGGUUGAAAAUCAGAACUGAGGAGAUGCAGUGCCAGGUGUGUUAUGAUUUGGGCGCAGCCUACUUCCAGCAGGGCUCCACAAAUUCAGCUGCCUAUGAGAGCGCUCGAGAGAAGUUUUUUAGAACUAAAGAACUAAUUGCAGAGAUAGGUUCAUUAUCUCUUCAUUGUACCAUAGAUGAGAAGCGGUUAGCUGGCUACUGUCAAGCGUGUGAUGUUCUUGUACCUUCCUCUGAUACUAACUCUCAGCAGGUGACUCCAUACAGUCAAGUCCAUAUUUGUUUGCGGUCUGGCAGCUAUCAGGAGGUGGUGCAGAUUUUCAUCGAAGAUAACGUAACUUUCACUUUACCUGUCCAGUUCCGGCAGUCAGUAUUAAGGGAGCUCUUUCAGAAAGCUCAACAGGGAAAUGAAGCUCUAGAUGAAAUCUGUUUUAAAAUUUGUUCCUGCAACACAGUACGAGAUAUACUGGAAGGCAGAACAAUUAGUGUCCAGUUCAAUCAACUGUUUCUCAGACCAAACAAAGAAAAAAUAGAUUUUCUCCUCGAGGUAUGUUCAAGAUCAAUAGACAUAGAAAAAGCUUCAGAUUCUUUAAAAGGAAACAUGGCUGCUUUUCUAAAGAAUGUGUGUCUGGGGUUGGAAGAUCUACAGUAUGUCUUCAUGAUUUCUUCACAUGAGCUUUUCAUAACAUUGUUGAAGGAUGAAGAACGAAAGCUGCUUGUUGAUCAAAUGAGGAAGAGAUCCCCAAGAGUAAAUCUGUGCAUUAAACCUGUGACUUCAUUUUAUGAUAUCCCAGCCUCAGCAAGUGUCAAUAUUGGCCAGUUGGAGCAUCAGCUUAUAUUAUCAGUGGAUCCCUGGCGGAUUAGACAGAUUUUAAUAGAAUUACAUGGUAUGACCUCAGAGCGACAGUUUUGGACUGUGUCAAAUAAGUGGGAGGUACCUUCUGUAUAUAGUACUGUUAUCCUAGGAAUUAAGGACAAUUUAACAAGAGAUUUGGUUUACAUUCUCAUGGCCAAAGGUUUGCACUGCAGUACUGUCAAGGAUUUUCCCCAUUCGAAACAGCUGUUUACAGCCGGUUUGGAGUUGGUAACAGAGUUCUCACCGAAGCUCCGCCAGGUUAUGUUGAAUGAGAUACUCCUCUUGGAUAUUCUCACCCAUGAAGCUGGAGUGGGGCACUCAGGAGAGAGACCUCCUUCUGACCUCAUCAGUAGGGUACGAGGAUAUUUGGAAAUGAGGCUUCCUGAUAUUCCCCUUCGCCAGGUGGUGGCUGCAGAGUGUGUCGCUUUCAUGUUAAACUGGAGAGAGAAUGAGUAUCUUACUCUGCAAGUUCCUGCAUUUUUAUUUCAGAAUAAUCCGUAUGUAAAGGUAAUUAAUGUUUAAUCUAAAAUGAUUGUCAGAGUAUUGGUAAUUUAUAUUAGUACUCUAUUAAUAUACCCAUUUCAUUAGUUCCUGCCACUCUGAAAUUCGUCUGAUUUCUAUAGUACAGUAUCAGUUAAGGUAAACACUUGUCAGUUGGUAGUGAAGUACAUGGUUUUGUUCUGGGAAUGUAGCUUAGCUUCAAAAGCUCUUUCCUAGUGCGCAUGUGAACAAGGUAAUCCCAGCACCUUUUGGUAUAUAAGUUGGGGUGCCCUGAAACUCAACAAUUUUUCUACUUCAGAUUUCCAACAAGUGCUGAAGUUGAUGUGCAUACAGUUUCUGCAGCCUCCCCUUCCCCUUCUUUUUUAAAUAGAAAUUGUCUAUUGUCUAUUAAGAAAGAGAAGCAUUCCUGAGAGUGUGACUGAGCUGUUGGGCUAAGGGUAAAGCCCGUGUUAUUUUUCAAUACAGUACAUAAUUAUGUAACCAAAGGGACAUUUUUUAGCAGAUGACUAAAUAAAAGUCUCUUUUCAAAUAAUACAAACUUCUCUAAUCUCUCCUUCAGUCAGAAAGGGAGAUGCUGUAGUAUAGUGAAUGUCAGCACAGGAUUCACAGGCACGAGGGUCACUGACACUUUGAGUAUGCAGUUAGGGAGGAGGAGCGGGAGCAGUUAGUGCCAGUGAUACUGAUCUUGUAGGAUAACAACUCAGGUGGUUUUGUUUGUUUGUUUGUUUGUUUUUUAAAUUUUAUUUGUGUAUGGAUGUUUUGCUUGCUUGCAUGUCUGUUCCCUUCUUACAUGUCUGGUCCUCAAAGGUCAGAAGAGGGCAUCGGAUCCCCUCCACGUGAGUUGCAGAAGGUUGUGAGCCACUGUGUGGGUACUGUGACUUCACCGUGGAACCUCUGGCAGAGCAGCCAGUGCUCCGAAGGCUGAACCAUCUCUCCAGCCCCACACUGGAGAGUUUCAGUCUGGCCCACCAGGCCUUUUAAGGUGUGAGUGCUUUGGCAGGUGCGCGUCCUGCUAAAUUUCUCUGCUGCCCUCACAGCGCUCCCUCCGUGAUGCUUUUAUGCUUCUGUCCUCUGUACAUGCUGUCUACUCUCCUUGCACACCGAAUGGCCCUUCCAGCUGGCUUAUGUGUUUUCGUGUUUUCUAAACGCAGAAUCACUUUCUUGUGUUGCUAGCUUUGUGCUCAUCCUGAUUUCAUCGUAGUGUUUGUGAUAGUCAGUCUUCCUUGUGAUACAUAAGUCCUUGAAAGCAGUUAAUCUUCUACCUUGUGUUCUAUAUGUUACCUAGCACAGGUGCUCAAGAUAGUUUACAGAGUUCAGGUCAUUUGAAAUGCUUAACAUUUGGGGGUUGGGGGUAAGAUUUUACUCUUGAGACAACUUCUAAUGUGUAACCUGGGCUGGCCUCAAACUUGAUGUAUAGUUCAGGCUAGCCUCAGACUUGAGCUCCUCCUAUCUUAGCCUCUCCUAAGUGCUGGAAUUUUAGACAUAAUCACCACUCCAGGAGCUUACCUUUAAUUAAAUUUACCUGUUUAAUAAACCAAUGGCCUUGACUUAAGCACGUGACUUAUGGUAUGUCAGUUACUUCUGUGCUGCUCUCUAACUCAAAAUCAGAAGCAAGUGCUGGAGUACAGUUAUGGAGUAUCAGGUAGUUGGUGAACUAUUUAGAUAUUUCUCUUAGAAAAAUUUUAUAACAAAAAAAAAUACAGGAAAACAGCAGUUUUUGUUUGUCACAAUUCUGCCUUUUCUCCGAAAGAAGUGACCUAAAAUAGUAGAGACUCCAUUUAAAAACUUCUUUUUAAUCCAGUUUCAGUUCUGUGGGCACCGGGGUUUCCUGGUGGGCUUGAAGAGCCUCUUAUUUCUGCCAUGCUGAAUUCCCCAGCUAGCUGGUUGAGGAGCUUCCCGGGGACUCUUCUAUCUGCCUCCCAUUUUGCAGUACGAAUGCAGAAAUUACAGAUGCAUCACAUCCAGCUGUUGGUUUCUAUUUUUCCUAAACCUGGGUUUUAGGAAUCCCACUGAAUGCACUGGGCUCUCCCAUUGGCCCUGAAUUUGAUUUACACUUAUAUUCUCCCCUCUUUGUGACCCAUCUUUUCUCUGCUUUCAGUUCUAUUCUUUAUUCCAAAAUUGGUCCUGCGUCUUAGGGCCUUAAGUCAACGUUAGGUCCUCCACCUUCUGUAAUCUUAAUUUUGUCUUGCCCGAGGCCUGUGAGGUGGUUCACAUGUAAAAGUGCUUUCCUCCAGGCCUCACAGCCUGAAGUAGAUCCCUGGAAGAUAUGGUGGAAGGAGAGUUCUCAAACACUGUGUUGUAUACUGAAUCUUGGACAGCUCUUAGCAGCCACCUGCAAAGAGCUUCCAGGUCCUAAAGAGAGUAGACGGACUGCUAAAGACCUUUGGGAAGUUGUUGUUCAGAUCUGCAGCGUGUCUAACCAGCACAAACGAGGAAAUGAUGGCAGAG